AGUCGAACGAUCCUUUCGGGGAUAGUGGCGCACGGGUGCGUAACGCGUGGGAAUCUGCCCUUGGGUUCGGAAUAACGUCUGGAAACGGACGCUAAUACCGGAUGAUGACGUAAGUCCAAAGAUUUAUCGCCCAGGGAUGAGCCCGCGUAGGAUUAGCUAGUUGGUGGGGUAAAGGCCUACCAAGGCGACGAUCCUUAGCUGGUCUGAGAGGAUGAUCAGCCACACUGGGACUGAGACACGGCCCAGACUCCUACGGGAGGCAGCAGUAGGGAAUAUUGGACAAUGGGCGAAAGCCUGAUCCAGCAAUGCCGCGUGAGUGAUGAAGGCCUUAGGGUUGUAAAGCUCUUUUACCCGGGAUGAUAAUGACAGUACCGGGAGAAUAAGCCCCGGCUAACUCCGUGCCAGCAGCCGCGGUAAUACGGAGGGGGCUAGCGUUGUUCGGAAUUACUGGGCGUAAAGCGCACGUAGGCGGCGAUUUAAGUCAGAGGUGAAAGCCCGGGGCUCAACCCCGGAACUGCCUUUGAGACUGGAUUGCUUGAAUCCGGGAGAGGUGAGUGGAAUUCCGAGUGUAGAGGUGAAAUUCGUAGAUAUUCGGAAGAACACCAGUGGCGAAGGCGGCUCACUGGA
rnacentral:rRNA from 1 species